rnacentral:misc_RNA from 1 species
AAACGUUGGUCGCUUGCAGCCGAUGGCCACCUUUGGGUCAGGCGGCCGGGGAGGCGAGGGGAGAUGGGGGUGGUGGUGGGGCUCAUCGUGGGGGCCAGUGAGUCGCUGGACAAGCUCCUUGAAGGUGGUGGUGUCGGCUUGGACGAAUGUUGUGGAGGGGGCCACGCCGGGUGGCUUCUCGGCCAUGGCUAGGUUAUCUAUGCGUCCAAG